GAUGAACGCUGGCGGCGUGCCUAAUACAUGCAAGUCGAGCGAACAGACGAGGAGCUUGCUCCUCUGACGUUAGCGGCGGAAGGGUGAGUAACACGUGGAUAACCUACCUAUAAGACUGGGAUAACUUCGGGAAACCGGAGCUAAUACCGGAUAAUAUAUUGAACCGCAUGGUUCAAUAGUGAAAGACGGUUUUGCUGUCACUUAUAGAUGGAUCCCCGCCGCAUUAGCUAGUUGGUAAGGUAACGGCCUACCAAGGCAACGAUCCGUAGCCGACCUGAGAGAGUGAUCGGCGACACUGGAACUGAGACACGGUCCAGGCGCCUACGGGAGGCAGCAGUAGGGAAUCUUCCGCAAUGGGCGAGAGCCUUACGGAGUAACGCCGCGUGAGUGAUGAAGGUCUUCGGAUCGUAAAACUCUGUUAUUAGGGAAGAACAACUGUGUAAGUAACCAUGCACGUCGUGACGGUACCUAAUCAGAAAGCCACGGCUAACUACGUG
rnacentral:rRNA from 1 species